rnacentral:lncRNA from 1 species
AGCUUCCUAAUUUCAUCCAGCCAAGCGAGGCGGGAGGGCGCUGCGCCCUUCGCGGGGCUCCGCUGGGGGGCAGCGGGGAGCCCGGGGGGAGCCCCGCGGCCAUCUCGCCCUACGCCCCGGGGGAGGAAAGGAGGACCCCGGGGUCGUGCUCCGGGGCCGUGCUGUGGGGCAGGCAGCCCUCCCCGAGCCCCCGGCCGGGCUCCUGAGGCAGCACGCCGCCCCGCCAGCCCAGGUGCGGCCGCCUCCGGAGGGAGGGAAGGGGAGGGAAGGGAGCGGAGCGCCGCGGGCGCGGCUCGCCGGGGAGCAGCGCGGGGGUGGGGUGGGGUGUGGAGGCAGGCAGGAAGGAAGGAAGGAAGGAGAAAACGAGCGAGCAGGGGGAGAGGAGGGAGCCCAAGCGGCCAGCAGGCCCUCUCCUCCUUCCCCUCCGCGGCUGCUCGUCGCCAGGAGCGUCAUCCGAGCAUUCAAACCAAAAUAAGCAAAACCCUCAGAUCCACAAAUACCAGUAAGUUUCACAAUCAAUAUUUGUAUAUCAUUUACUGAGUUGUGUAGGUGGGUCAGAUCUGUAGCAUGUCUUUAGAAGUGCUUCAACUCCAGCAACUGUUAGCAACUAUUGAAACAAAAAAUGGCUUUGGCUUCAGCUCCCAGCAUUGCUGGCAUUUUGUGGUCAAAACAUCGUCUUAGUGAGCAGUUUCUUCCUUUCUUGGUCUGCUGCGUAUUAUGCUGGAAAAUAUGCAACAAAAAGAAAUUAUGUUCUUCGUUCUGUGCUUGAUAAUCCUGUGCAUAGUGUUGUGGUUCAUACAGAGAUGGGUUAGGAUCCAAAUAACCGAUAAUACAUGGCUAUUGGAGUUCCUGAAGUAGCAGAAUGGAGGUUUUCCAGAUUAAGGUGUUGGCAAAGCUGUUGCAUGUAGAAAAAACAAUAUUUAGAUAUGGAAGAGUGUGUGUCAGUAAAUAGAAGCUACUUACUUAAGUGCCUUUUUUGUUACUGUAGGAGGUGGAGAGAUUGGGAGAAUGAUACUGUUUGAAAAUAAACGCUAACACCUCAGGGUUAAGACCCUAUAU